rnacentral:misc_RNA from 1 species
CAUCACACAAAAAAUUCAGUAUAAGAAUGAUCUAAACUCUAAAAUAGAUAUUUCCCCCUCCCUUCCCACUUUCAACGCAUUUUGUUCAUUCAUGCUCUAUCAACAAUAAAAGUCAAGCCUGCGCAUGAUUUCCACUUUCUACAAAAACUUAUACAUCUUUCUUUUGAAGUGUUGCAGGAUUCCACUGCAAGAGGCGAGGGUUAUCAUGUAGCUGAAUUGCAUUGCAGAUAAAAAAAAAAAAAAAGAACACUGCCACACACUACACAUCCCUAAUGCUUUAAAAGAUUUUGAAAAUAAUUCUGGAAAAUUGAUCGACAUCAUUCCAUUGGAGAAGGACCCUCUUCUGCUUUUACGUCAUCCUGUACACUGCCUAACAUGAUGGCCGUCAGCAUUAGCUUCCCUGCAUCUGGAAAAUCCUUGUGCUGCAUCAAAAUUGCUUCUACAGAAAAAUCCAAAUCCUUCAUUGUUGAAGCCUCCGAGUUUUCUUUCCUCAAUGGCAACACUACUUCAAAGCCUUCUUCUAUAGUUUCUGCUUGAGGUCCGUAACACCUACUUGAUGCCUGGAAAAGCACAGUGUCUUUCAGUUGCUGCAGGGUUUCCUCGUCACUCCACCCUUCAUCUAUAGAUGCUUGAUGAAGUUUUCCCCAAUCAUCCUGAUCAGCAGCAUUCUUCCAACACUCCUCCAGAAGGUUUCUAUGGCUUCUACGAAAUGAUGAGCUGGCCCAUGCGAACACAUCAAAAGCUAGCAGUGAUAGUUCUGGGCUUUCAGCUUUAAGGCACAGCUCUAUGAGCUCCUCUGGACGGAACAGUUGCUGUCCAUCAUAUGUUUCUGCUCCAUUGGCCUGAAGGACUUUCACAAUUUCUUCCUGCAAUUUCAAAAUCUUCAAAUCUGCAUCAAUGCGCAUAAUCUUGGUCUCAGAACUAGCAUUUUUACCUGCUGCCAUGGCAGCAAUCCUCGAGAGAUUCAAAAGACGCUUUCUGUCUGCUAGUGUUGUUAUCAAGCCAGUGUGCUCAGGGUCUUCACCCUCUUCAGCUUCUGAACAAGAGUGUUCAUCUUGAGAA